rnacentral:rRNA from 1 species
GAUGAACGCUGGCGGCGUGCCUAAUACAUGCAAGUCGAGCGAACAGACGCGGAGCUUGCUCCUCUGACGUUAGCGGCGGACGGGUGAGUAACACGUGGAUAACCUACCUAUAAGACUGGGAUAACUUCGGGAAACCGGAGCUAAUACCGGAUAAUAUAUUGAACCGCAUGGUUCAAUAGUGAAAGACGGUUUUGCUGUCACUUAUAGAUGGAUCCGCGCCGCAUUAGCUAGUUGGUACGGUAACGGCUUACCAAGGCUACGAGGCGUAGCCGACCUGAGAGGGUGAUCGGCCACACUGGAACGGAGACGCGGUCCAGACUCCUACGGGAGGCAGCAGUAGGGAAUCUUCCGCAAUGGGCGAAAGCCUGACGGAGCAACGCCGCGUGAGUGAUGAAGGUCUUCGGAUCGUAAAACUCUGUUAUUAGGGAAGAACAAAUGUGUAAGUAACUAUGCACGUCUUGACGGUACCUAAUCAGAAAGCCACGGCUAACUACGUG